AUAUAAUGUGCCUGUUGAUAUCACGGCAUCCUCGCUCUCGCUUUUGGUUUAGGAUGCUGCUUACGAUAAAGGCUCGAGGCCCUUUGGGUUGCCUCGAUCCGAAACGAUGCUCUUUCCGAAAUGGCGAUAACCGGGUACAUGUCUUGCCUUUGCCUCUCCACAGUUAUGUGGUAGGAUACGCAACCCUAUGAUCCGGCCCUCAUGGAGGAGGAGACAUGUUUUUUUCCGAAAUGGCGACAACCGGGUAAAUGUCUUGCCUCUACCUCUCCACAGUUACGUGGUAGGAUACGCAAGCAUCAUCCGAUCCUCAUGGAGGAGGAAACAUGCUCUUUUUGAAAUGGCGAUAACCGGGUUCAUGUCUUGCCUUUACCUCCCCACAAUUACGUGGUAGGAUACGCAACCCUAUGAUCCGGCCCUCAUGGAGGAUGAGCAAUGCCCGCACAAAAGCGACAACUGGCUCGGCUGUUGCGUUUGCCUUUCCACGCAAGUGGAAUCGCAGGGUAACUACCGAUG
rnacentral:misc_RNA from 1 species